rnacentral:rRNA from 1 species
CACGUAGUUAGCCGGUGCUUAUUCUUCGGGUACCGUCAUUAGCCGAAGGUAUUAACCUCAGCCGUUUCUUCCCUGACAAAAGAGCUUUACAACCCGAAGGCCUUCUUCACUCACGCGGCAUUGCUGGAUCAGGCUUGCGCCCAUUGUCCAAAAUUCCCCAUGCUGCCUCCCGUAGGAGUCUGGACCGUGUCUCAGUUCCAGUGUGGCUGGUCGUCCUCUCAGACCAGCUACUGAUCGUCGCCUUGGUGAGCCUUUACCCCACCAACUAGCUAAUCAGACAUCGGCCGCUCCAAAAGCAUGAGGCCCGAAGGUCCCCCACUUUCUCCGUAGAACGUAUGCGGUAUUAGCGCAACUUUCGCUGCGUUACUCCCCCUACUUCGUGGGUACGUCCGAUGUAUUACUCACCCGUUCGCCACUCGCCUACCACGGCCGAAGCCCGUGCUGCCGUUCGACUUGCAGUGUAGUAAAGCAGUCGCCG